rnacentral:rRNA from 1 species
UACGUAGGGUGCGAGCGUUAAUCGGAAUUACUGGGCGUAAAGCGUGCGCAGGCGGUGAUGUAAGACCGAUGUGAAAUCCCCGGGCUUAACCUGGGAACUGCAUUGGUGACUGCAUCGCUCGAGUAUGGCAGAGGGGGGUAGAAUUCCACGUGUAGCAGUGAAAUGCGUAGAGAUGUGGAGGAACACCGAUGGCGAAGGCAGCCCCCCUGGGCUAAGAUUGACGCUCAGGCACGAAAGCGUGGGGAGCAAACAGG